rnacentral:rRNA from 1 species
ACUCAAAGGAAUUGACGGGGGCCCGCACAAGCGGUGGAGCAUGUGGUUCAAUUCGAAGCAACGCGCAGAACCUUACCAGGGCUUGACAUGGGGAGGCCGUGUCCGGAAACGGGCAUUUCCCGCAAGGGACCUCCCACACAGGUGCUGCAUGGCUGUCGUCAGCUCGUGUCGUGAGAUGUUGGGUUAAGUCCCGCAACGAGCGCAACCCUCGCCUUCAGUUGCCAUCGGUUUCGGCCGGGCACUCUGAAGGAACUGCCGGUGACAAGCCGGAGGAAGGUGGGGAUGACGUCAAGUCCUCAUGGCCCUUAUGCCCUGGGCCACACACGUGCUACAAUGGCGGUGACAGCGGGAUGCCAGGUCGCGAGGCCGAGCCGAUCCCGAAAAGCCGUCUCAGUUCAGAUUGCACUCUGCAACUCGGGUGCAUGAAGGCGGAAUCGCUAGUAAUCGCGGAUCAGCACGCCGCGGUGAAUACGUUCCCGGGCCUUGUACACACCGCCCGU